GACGAACGCUGGCGGCGUGCUUAACACAUGCAAGUCGAACGAUGAAGCAAAGACUCGAAGCUUCGGCAGAAAUUCAUUUCGGAUUAGUGGCCGACGGGUGAGUAACGCGUGAGCAACCUACCUCUUACAAAGGGAUAGCCUCGGGAAACCGGGAUUAAUACCAUCUAACAUUGCGACGAAGCAUUUCGAUGCAAUCAAAGCUACGGCGGUAAGAGAUGGGCUCGCGUCCCAUUAACCGGAUGGUGGGGUAACGGCUCACCAUAGUGACGAUGGGUAACCGGGCGGAGAGGGUGAACGGUCACACUGGAACUGAGACACGGUCCAGACUCCUACGGGAGGCAGCAGUGGGGAAUAUUGCACAAUGGAGGGAACUCUGAUGCAGCGACGCCGCGUGAGUGAUGAAGGAAUUCGUAUCGUAAAACUCUGUUAUAUGGGAAGAAAAGGACUGUACCAUAGGAGAAAGCUCCGGCUAAAUACGUG
rnacentral:rRNA from 1 species